GGCAGCCGGGAAGGAAAGCAGUGACCAUAUAUAUCAGCAAGGCGGCUAAACCCGAGACUCUACAACUGUAGUGUCUCCCACCCACACUCCUCCUCUAACCUAGUUAAUAAGGUUCCUCACUUGGUAGUUGGCCAGAAUGCCAAGGUUGUCUUCCCAUUAAUUGAGCAAUACUCCAGAGACCACAGGACCAGUUUGACCUAAUCCUGACCUCAGAAUGAGGAAUGUUGGCGUAAUCCCAAGAGAUGGAGGCCGAUUACUUUGUGAGUCCGGUGGUGAACAGACUAUCCAUCAAUUGUCUGCAGAAGGUUAUGAGGGAGAUCAGGAAGUCCCACUCAAGUUCUCAGCCAGCAUUUGUAACAGUUCUAUAAAACAAAUUUUGUAACUUCACAUUAACCAUCAUCCUAUAAUCUACCUCGUUUCAAAGACAUGUUUAUUACUAAGUCCCGGAGAAACAGACUGUGAAUCUCAUUCAUCUUCUAUGUUCAAAAUAUGAGAGUAUUUAUCAUCAUAGUUCCACAAUAUAUGUAUUAAAAAUCCAACGUGAGUUUCAUAAGCCUUACUUUUUGGAUAUCAAAUCCUUCAGUCUUACUUUACAGCUUUCU